rnacentral:rRNA from 1 species
AGAUUGAACGCUGGCGGCAGGCCUAACACAUGCAAGUCGAGCGGUAGAGAGGUGCUUGCAUCUCUUGAGAGCGGCGGACGGGUGAGUAAUGCCUAGGAAUCUGCCUAGUGGUGGGGGAUAACGUUCGGAAACGGACGCUAAUACCGCAUACGUCCUACGGGAGAAAGCGGGGGACCUUCGGGCCUCGCGCCAUUAGAUGAGCCUAGGUCGGAUUAGCUAGUUGGUGAGGUAAUGGCUCACCAAGGCGACGAUCCGUAACUGGUCUGAGAGGAUGAUCAGUCACACGUGGAACUG